rnacentral:lncRNA from 1 species
CUUUUUGGUAUCAAAUUGACGUGCUUCGAGUAUUAACACAAAUGUUGGAUAUUUUGGAUAAAUUGAAUAUUUUCAGAAUGGGUUUGAAAUUGAAUUGUGAACUACGAAAGACUUGAUCCCGCUCAAGGUUACGUAGGCAAUCUAACAGAGUUAGUUGUAGCCUUAACUAAUCAAAAAUUAAUCUUUUGUUGAGAAGUGGUUUUAAUAGAAGAAAUUGAGGAUAAAAUUGAUAAUUGAAUCCUAUGUUUUAGAAGUUUAAAAAUAUGGUCAUAUAAAUGUAAAGGGAUUAAGGAACUUAGAUAAAGAAUUGCGAUUAAGGGUAGUUAAGCAACAAGAGUAUUGAAUUGGGCCUAUCAUCGAAAUUAUUGCCCGAAAGUAAAUAUUUCGGCAGCGUGGCGUUACAGAAUUGCCUAACGGAGCAAAAUCCAACUGAUUCACCUGAGCCAAAAUUUCAUCGCGGGACCAUU